rnacentral:rRNA from 2 species
AUAACGACUCUCGGCAACGGAUAUCUCGGCUCUCGCAUCGAUGAAGAACGUAGCGAAAUGCGAUACUUGGUGUGAAUUGCAGAAUCCCGUGAACCAUCGAAUCUUUGAACGCAAGUUGCGCCCGAAGCCAUCCGGUUGAGGGCACGUCUGCCUGGGCGUCACGC